rnacentral:rRNA from 1 species
UAAGGUAGCAUAAUAAUUUGUCUUUUAAUUGAAGAAUAGAAUGAAUGGAUAGACGUGAAAUUACCUGUCUCUUUUUUAUUAUAUUAAAAUUAAUUUUUAAGUGAAAAAGCUUAAAUUAACAGAAAAGACAAGAAGACCCUAUCAAUUUUGAAAUAUUCUUUUUAGUAAUUAAUGGGAGCUUUUUUUGGUUGGGGCAAUCAAAAAGGAAACCAAUCCUUUUUUAUUUUUAUUUUUGUAGAAAAAAUAUCCAAACUAUUUUGAAUUAUAAGAUAAAUACUGUAGGGAUAACAGCAUAAUUUUUUUUUGGAGCUCUUAUUUAAAAUAAAGUUUAUGACCUCGAUGUUGGACUAAGGUAACUCUUAAGUGCAGGGGCUUAAGCAAGUUAGACUGUUCGUCUAUUAAAUCCUUACAU